AACGAACGCUGGCGGCGUGGCUAAGACAUGCAAGUCGAACGGACUGGUCAAUUUAUUGGACAGUUAGUGGCGAAAGGGUUAGUAACGGAUGGGUAACGUACCCUGUGCUUUGGGAUAGCGUCAUCCCGACUUCGGUCGGGAUUUCCGAAAGGGGCGGUAAUACCAAAAAUAUCAUUUGUCUAUAGGCGGAUGAUCAAAGAUUUAUCGGCAUAGGCGCGGCCUGUUUCCUAUCAGCUUGUUGGUGGGGUAAUGGCUCACCAAGGCAACGACGGGUAGCGGGACUGAGAGGUUGGCCCGCAACAUCGGGACUGAGACACUGCCCGGACCUCCACGGAGGGCUGCAGUAACGAAUAUUGUGCAAUGGGCGAAAGCCUGACACAGCGACGCCGCGUGUAGGAGGAAGUCCUUCGGGAUGUAAACUACUGUCAGGGGUAAGAAAAGUGCGCUUCGGCGCAUUGAUCUAACCCAGAGGAAGUCACGGCUAACUUCGUGCCAGCAGCCGCGGUAAGACGAAGGUGGCAAGCGUUGUUCGGUAUCACUGGGCUUAAAGCGUGUGUAGGCGGAAAAGUAAGCGCUUCGUGAAAUCCCCCGGCUUAACCGGGGAACUGCGCAACGAACUGCUUUUCUUGAGGCAAGUAGGGGUGCAUGGAACUCUUGGUGGAGCGGUGGAAUGCGUAGAUAUCAAGAGGAACGCCAGUGGAGAAAUCGGUGCACUGGGCUUGUCCUGACGCUGAGACACGAAAGCGUGGGUAGCGAACGGGAUUAGAUACCCCGGUAGUCCACGCCGUAAACGAUGCCUACUAGGUUGUGAAAGUUCUGACACUGGCACAGCCGAAGCAAAAGUGUUAAGUAGGCCGCCUGGGGAGACGGUCGCAAGGCU
rnacentral:rRNA from 1 species